GACGAACGCUGGCGGCGUGCUUAACACAUGCAAGUCGAACGGAAAGGCCCUGCUUUUGUGGGUUGCUCGAGUGGCGAACGGGUGAGUAACACGUGAGUAACCUGCCCUUGUCUUUGGGAUAACUUCAGGAAACUGGGGCUAAUACCGGAUAGGAUCUCCUGCUGCAUGUUGGGGGUUGGAAAGUUUCGGCUGUUGGGGAUGGACUCGCGGCUUAUCAGCUUGUUGGUGUGGUAGUGGCUUACCAAGGCUUUGACGGGUAGCCGGCCUGAGAGGGUGACCGGCCACAUUGGGACUGAGAGACGGCGCAGAAUGCUACGGGAGGCAGCAGUGGGGAAUAUUGCACAAUGGGCGGAAGCCUGAUGCAGAAACGCCGCGUGCGGGAUGACGGGCUUCGGGUUGUAAACCGAUUUGGCCUGUGACGAAGAGUGAGUGACGGUAAUGGGUAAAGAAGCAACGGCUAACUACGUG
rnacentral:rRNA from 1 species